CUGUGACAGGAGGUGGUCCAAGCCAGAACACCCUGGACCAUCUGUACUGGCGGGCAGCCUCUCCCUCACUUGCGCAAAAAUGCGAUGAACUCCGUACUGGGUAAACAGGGCAUUCGGUCCACGUGUGCGGAGUGCAUGAAUGGGGAGGAAAGGCAGAGCUUGAAGAUCUGGACCUUGUGAGCAAUGAAGAACCAGGGCAGAAUUGUUUUGGAGAAGGAGGCACACAGAUGAGGAGAAGGCCAGAUGGAGAUGGAGCCAGAGACUGGAGCGCUGUGGCUGCAAGCCGAAGAAUGGAGGAGGACAAGGAGCAUUCUCUUCCUGAGCCUCCUCCAGAGGGAGCGAGGCCCUUACAACACCUUGAUUUUCACGUCUAGCUUCCAGAACUGUGAAGAUAAACAGCCAGUGGAGAUAAAGAGAAGAAGAAGAAGAAGAUUCAAGGGAGAGGAUGACAAGGAGUAAGUGUUUGGAGGAGGCAGAAGUGAUCUGAGGCCAGGGUGAGAAAGCAGCUCAAGGAUGUGGUCCUCACAGGGAAAUCUGCAGGGACAACUAUCGACCUGAUUUUUCCUGCACCUCAACGUGAGACAAUUACAAAGGAAAAAGGAAGGCCGAAAUCGUCCUGUAAUCUUCAGUGACUUCUCUUUUCAGUACGGACUUGGGUGAAUUUAGACCCCCAGGAGCCGGGGCUGGAGGAGCCGCCCGGGCAGUAGGUAUCUCCGGGUAUGAGGCCUGUUUGGGAUGCAAAUUGAGUUUCCCCCGAGAUCGACACUGCCUCGGGGAAUCUGAAAUUAGUACCCUACAGCGCUAAUAAAGGCACC